AAAGUUGUUGCGGUUAAAAAAGCUCGUAGUUGGAUCUCAGUUCCAGACGGGUGGUCCACCUACCGGUGGUUACUGCCUGUUCUGAACAGCCAGCCGGUUUCUCUUGAUGAUCUUCACCGGUUGUCUUGGGUGACCGGCAAGUUUACUUUGAAAAAAAUUAGAGUGCUCAAAGCAGGCGUGACGCCUGAAGAAUGGUGCAUGGAAUAAUGGAAUAGGACCUCGGUUCUAUUUUGUUGGUUUUUCGGAAUACGAGGUAAUGAUUAAGAGGGACAGACGGGGGCAUUCCUAUUGCGAAGCUAGAGGUGAAAUUCUUGGCCCUGUAGGGGAUACCUGUGCGCAUGACCGUAGCCAUGUUGCUUGGUGUGUUUUGGUGCUCUG
rnacentral:rRNA from 1 species